rnacentral:rRNA from 1 species
UACAGAGGGUGCAAGCGUUGUUCGGAAUCACUGGGCGUAAAGCGCGCGCAGGCGGGUGGGCAAGUCGGAAGUGAAAUCUCGCCGCUCAACGACGAGGCUGCUUCGGAUACUACCCAUCUAGGGACCGGUAGAGGCUGGUAGAAUUGCAGGUGUAGCGGUGGAAUGCGUAGAUAUCAAGAGGAACACCUGAGGUGAAGACGGGUUGCUGGGCCGACACUGACGCUGAGUGCGCGAAAGCCAGGGGAGCAAACGGG